rnacentral:rRNA from 1 species
GGAGUCGAGAAUGAAUGGGUUUUCGGGGGUUGACUGUCUCUUUUGGAUUUAGUUGAAAUUUCUAAAAAGGUGCAAAAUCCUUUAAUUCGAAAAAAGACGAGAAGACCCUUAGAGUUUUUAUUAUAAAAAGAUUAAUUCUUUAUCGGUUUUUGCUGGGGCGGCAAAGAGACAAUAAACUCUCUUUUUACAGUUUUUAGAAGACGUGAAUCUAAAGAGACAAUAAACUACCUUAGGGAUAACAGCAUAAUUAAAUUUUAGUUUGUGACCUCGAUGUUGGACUAGGAAAAAUUUUUGGUUAGCCGCCAA